rnacentral:rRNA from 1 species
GCUCAGAUUGAACGCUGGCGGCAGGCCUAACACAUGCAAGUCGAGCGGAUGAAGGGAGCUUGCUCCUGGAUUCAGCGGCGGACGGGUGAGUAAUGCCUAGGAAUCUGCCUGGUAGUGGGGGAUAACGUCCGGAAACGGGCGCUAAUACCGCAUACGUCCUGAGGGAGAAAGUGGGGGAUCUUCGGACCUCACGCUAUCAGAUGAGCCUAGGUCGGAUUAGCUAGUUGGUGGGGUAAAGGCCUACCAAGGCGACGAUCCGUAACUGGUCUGAGAGGAUGAUCAGUCACACUGGAACUGAGACACGGUCCAGACUCCUACGGGAGGCAGCAGUGGGGAAUAUUGGACAAUGGGCGAAAGCCUGAUCCAGCCAUGCCGCGUGUGUGAAGAAGGUCUUCGGAUUGUAAAGCACUUUAAGUUGGGAGGAAGGGCAGUAAGUUAAUACCUUGCUGUUUUGACGUUACCAACAGAAUAAGCACCGGCUAACUUCGUGCCAGCAGCCGCGGUAAUACGAAGGGUGCAAGCGUUAAUCGGAAUUACUGGGCGUAAAGCGCGCGUAGGUGGUUCAGCAAGUUGGAUGUGAAAUCCCCGGGCUCAACCUGGGAACUGCAUCCAAAACUACUGAGCUAGAGUACGGUAGAGGGUGGUGGAAUUUCCUGUGUAGCGGUGAAAUGCGUAGAUAUAGGAAGGAACACCAGUGGCGAAGGCGACCACCUGGACUGAUACUGACACUGAGGUGCGAAAGCGUGGGGAGCAAACAGGAUUAGAUACCCUGGUAGUCCACGCCGUAAACGAUGUCGACUAGCCGUUGGGAUCCUUGAGAUCUUAGUGGCGCAGCUAACGCGAUAAGUCGACCGCC